rnacentral:rRNA from 1 species
UACGGGGGGGGCAAGCGUUGUUCGGAAUUACUGGGCGUAAAGGGCGCGUAGGCGGCCUGCUAAGUCGGAUGUGAAAUCCCUCGGCUUAACCGGGGAACUGCGUCUGAUACUGGAUGGCUUGAGUUCGGGAGAGGGAUGCGGAAUUCCAGGUGUAGCGGUGAAAUGCGUAGAUAUCUGGAGGAACACCGGUGGCGAAGGCGGCAUCCUGGACCGACACUGACACUGAGGAGCGAAAGCCAGGGGAGCAAACGGG